GGGAAAGUAGAGUGGCGCACGGGUGAGUAACACGUAGGUAAUCUACCUUUGGAUGGGGAAUAACCACCGGAAACGGUGGCUAAUACCGCAUAAUGCAGCGGCACCUAAUGGUGACAGUUGUUAAAGCGGGGGAUCGAAAGACCUCGCGUCUAAAGAGGAGCCUGCGGCGGAUUAGCUAGUUGGUAAGGUAAUGGCUUACCAAGGCUACGAUCUGUAACCGGCCUGAGAGGGCGGUCGGUCACACUGACACUGACAUACGGGUCAGACUCCUACGGGAGGCAGCAGUCGGGAAUUUUGGGCAAUGGGCGAAAGCCUGACCCAGCAACGCCGCGUGAAGGAUGAAAUCCCUCGGGAUGUAAACUUCGCAAGAACGGGAAGAAUAAGUAGAAGCUAAUAUCUUCUAUGAUGACGGUACCGUUUGUAAGCUCCGGCUAACUUCGUGCCAGCAGCCGCGGUAAUACGAGGGGAGCAAGCGUUGUUCGGAUUUACUGGGCGUAAAGGGCGCGUAGGCGGCGUGGCAAGUCACUUGUGAAAUCUCCGGGCUUAACCCGGAACGGUCAAGUGAAACUGUCGUGCUAGAGUACAGAAGGGGCAACUGGAAUUCUCGGUGUAGCGGUGAAAUGCGUAGAUAUCGAGAGGAACACUGCGGCGAAGGCCGGGUUGCUGGGCUGAUACUGACGCUGAGGCGCGAAAGCCAGGGGAGCGAACG
rnacentral:rRNA from 1 species